rnacentral:lncRNA from 1 species
AUGUUUGAAUGAUUUGGUAUAUGUUAUGUAAUAUACCGAACUUUUACGGUUAUGAAGUUUUGGUGGAAACUAGAUUCGGGGUAUCGGAACUGUCCGAGUAUUGGUACGUAGUUCUAUAAAAUGCAGAUUUUGAAAGAUGUUUUAGUAAAAUCAAGUAUAAAUAAAAAUAGCGUGAGAUACUAUUUUUAUUGAUGUAGAAAAAGUAGAAGAUAAUUUGGAGAUUAUUUGUGGUGAAAUUAGAAUAGAAACAGAAGAUUUAUAAUUUUCUGUAAGAAGUGGGGCUGAUCUUUUAGCAGAAAAUUCACAGUGUCAGAAAAUUAUGAAAACUUGGGAAUAUGUUGGAAUUAUUUUUAUGAGGCUAGAUUUAAAAUUUCAUGUCAUUUUGACACCCGGAAAGUGAAAAAUAAAAUCUAACUGCUAUCUGCUAGAGAUUCUAGUCGGUAGACGGUGACAAAAAAUGGUCCAAACUGAAAAGUUAAGAUAUCUUUCUUCUUAUUAGUUUAAACCGAGCCUGACUGUCAAAUUUGAGUGCAAACAGACAUUCAGAAGGGCUCUGGGGAAAAACUUCAGUUUCUGAACUGCUAAACUAAAAUUAUGUUAAUGUUGAGGGGUGUUGACUAUAAAAGGAGAAGAAAAUUAUGUUAAUGUUGAG